CUCUGGUGGGAGGUCAAGGCCUGCGAUCGGAGAGAAAGAGAGAUAGAGAAAGAGUUUGGAAAUUCAAUGGAUUGAUCACAACAAUAUAUAUACCUAUAGACCUGAAUCUUUUUUCGGUGGUGUUUUUUUCUCCUUAACCCUUCCCCCCCCCCCUUCCGACCCGCGCGUAAAUCCACAGAGUCAAUAUUAAUAAAUCUCAAGCGAGGACAUCUAUCCCGCGAUCAUGCACUGGCAAGAGGGACUGUUGCUGUUGCUUAUUGCAGCGGCAGGAUCGACUACCUUCACCAAUGUGACGUGUUCGCCGAGCUCCUUCGAGUGCAGCAACAAGGAGAAGUGCAUCCCCCUCAGCUGGUGCUGCGACGGACGGGCUGACUGCGAGAAUGGCUCCGACGAGGCCCCGGACAUCUGCUCAG